UACGGGGGGAGCAAGCGUUGUUCGGAUUUACUGGGCGUAAAGAGCGCGCAGGCGGUCGAUCAAGUCGAGUGUGAAAGCCCCCGGCUCAACUGGGGAGGGUCAUUCGAUACUGAUCGACUCGAAGGCAGGAGAGGGUAGUGGAAUUCCCGGUGUAGUGGUGAAAUGCGUAGAUAUCGGGAGGAACACCAGUGGCGAAGGCGACUACCUGGCCUGUUCUUGACGCUGAGGCGCGAAAGCUAGGGGAGCAAACGGG
rnacentral:rRNA from 1 species